rnacentral:SRP_RNA from 1 species
GCCGGUCGCGGUGGCAUGUGCCUGUAGUCCCAGCUACUCGGGAGGCUGAGGUGGGAGGAUUGCUUGAGCCCAGGAGUUCUGGGCUGUAGUGCGCUAUGCCGAUCGGGUGUCCGCACUAAGUUCGGCAUCAAUAUGGUGACCUCCCGGGGGCAGUGGACCACCAGGUUGCAUAAGAAGGGGUGAACCGGCCCAGGUCGGAAACAGAGCAGGUCAAAACUCCCGUGCUGAUCAGAGGUGAGAUCGUGCCUGUGAAUAGCCACUGCACUCCAGCCUGGGCAACAUAGCGAGACCCCAUCUCU